UACGUAGGUGGCAAGCGUUGUCCGGAAUUAUUGGGCGUAAAGAGCGCGUAGGCGGUCCGAUAAGUCGGCUGUGAAAGUCAGGGGCUCAACCCUUGAAAGCCGGCCGAUACUGUCGGACUAGAGUCCGGAAGAGGCAAGUGGAAUUCCCGGUGUAGCGGUGAAAUGCGCAGAUAUCGGGAGGAACACCAAUGGCGAAGGCAGCUUGCUGGGACGGUACUGACGCUGAGGCGCGAAAGCGUGGGGAGCAAACAGG
rnacentral:rRNA from 1 species